UAGAAGUCAGGUCGGAUUAAGCCAUAGUACGGAAAAAACUAUGCUACCUGUGAGCCCCGUCCAAGGACGUUAAAAGAAGUCAGGCCAUUACAAAUGCCAUAGCUUGAGUAAACUGUGCAGCCUGUAGCUCCACCUGAGAAGGUGUAAAAAAUCUGGGAGGCCACAAACCAUGGAAGCUGUACGCAUGGCGUAGUGGACUAGCGGUUAGAGGAGACCCCUCCCUUACAAAUCGCAGCAACAAUGGGGG
rnacentral:lncRNA from 1 species